UUAAGCGACUAAGCGUACACGGUGGAUGCCCUGGCAGUCAGAGGCGAUGAAGGACGUGCUAAUCUGCGAAAAGCGUCGGUAAGGUGAUAUGAACCGUUACAGCCGGCGAUGUCCGAAUGGGGAAACCCAGUGUGAUUCGUCACACUAUCGUUAACUGAAUACAUAGGUUAACGAGGCGAACCGGGGGAACUGAAACAUCUAAGUACCCCGAGGAAAAGAAAUCAACCGAGAUUCCCCCAGUAGCGGCGAGCGAACGGGGAGCAGCCCAGAGUCUGAAUCAGCUUGUGUGUUAGUGGAACGGUCUGGAAAGUCCGACGGUACAGGGUGAUAGUCCCGUACACCAAAAUGCACAGGCUGUGAACUCGAAGAGUAGGGCGGGACACGUGGUAUCCUGUCUGAAUAUGGGGGGACCAUCCUCCAAGGCUAAAUACUCCUGACUGACCGAUAGUGAACCAGUACCGUGAGGGAAAGGCGAAAAGAACCCCGGCGAGGGGAGUGAAAAAGAACCUGAAACCGUGUACGUACAAGCAGUGGGAGCACCUUCGGGUGUGACUGCGUACCUUUUGUAUAAUGGGUCAGCGACUUAUAUUCUGUAGCAAGGUUAACCGUAUAGGGGAGCCGCAGGGAAACCGAGUCUUAACUGGGCGUUAAGUUGCAGGGUAUAGACCCGAAACCCGGUGAUCUAGCCAUGGGCAGGUUGAAGGUUGGGUAACACUAACUGGAGGACCGAACCGACUAAUGUUGAAAAAUUAGCGGAUGACUUGUGGCUGGGGGUGAAAGGCCAAUCAAACCGGGAGAUAGCUGGUUCUCCCCGAAAGCUAUUUAGGUAGCGCCUCGUGAACUCAUCUUCGGGGGUAGAGCACUGUUUCGGCUAGGGGGUCAUCCCGACUUACCAACCCGAUGCAAACUACGAAUACCGAAGAAUGUUAUCACGGGAGACACACGGCGGGUGCUAACGUCCGUCGUGAAGAGGGAAACAACCCAGACCGCCAGCUAAGGUCCCAAAGUCAUGGUUAAGUGGGAAACGAUGUGGGAAGGCACAGACAGCCAGGAUGUUGGCUUAGAAGCAGCCAUCAUUUAAAGAAAGCGUAAUAGCUCACUGGUCGAGUCGGCCUGCGCGGAAGAUGUAACGGGGCUAAACCAUGCACCGAAGCUGCGGCAGCGACACUAUGUGUUGUUGGGUAGGGGAGCGUUCUGUAAGCCUGCGAAGGUGACCUGUGAGGGUUGCUGGAGGUAUCAGAAGUGCGAAUGCUGACAUAAGUAACGAUAAAGCGGGUGAAAAGCCCGCUCGCCGGAAGACCAAGGGUUCCUGUCCAACGUUAAUCGGGGCAGGGUGAGUCGACCCCUAAGGCGAGGCCGAAAGGCGUAGUCGAUGGGAAACAGGUUAAUAUUCCUGUACUUGGUGUUACUGCGAAGGGGGGACGGAGAAGGCUAUGUUAGCCGGGCGACGGUUGUCCCGGUUUAAGCAUGUAGGCUGGUUAUCCAGGCAAAUCCGGAUAAUCAAGGCUGAGGUGUGAUGACGAGGCACUACGGUGCUGAAGUAACAAAUGCCCUGCUUCCAGGAAAAGCCUCUAAGCAUCAGGUAACAUUAAAUCGUACCCCAAACCGACACAGGUGGUCAGGUAGAGAAUACCAAGGCGCUUGAGAGAACUCGGGUGAAGGAACUAGGCAAAAUGGUGCCGUAACUUCGGGAGAAGGCACGCUGGUGUGUAGGUGAAGUCCCUGCGGAUGGAGCUGAGACCAGUCGAAGAUACCAGCUGGCUGCAACUGUUUAUUAAAAACACAGCACUGUGCAAACACGAAAGUGGACGUAUACGGUGUGACGCCUGCCCGGUGCCGGAAGGUUAAUUGAUGGGGUUAUCCGUAAGGAGAAGCUCUUGAUCGAAGCCCCGGUAAACGGCGGCCGUAACUAUAACGGUCCUAAGGUAGCGAAAUUCCUUGUCGGGUAAGUUCCGACCUGCACGAAUGGCGUAAUGAUGGCCAGGCUGUCUCCACCCGAGACUCAGUGAAAUUGAACUCGCUGUGAAGAUGCAGUGUACCCGCGGCAAGACGGAAAGACCCCGUGAACCUUUACUAUAGCUUGACACUGAACAUUGAGCCUUGAUGUGUAGGAUAGGUGGGAGGCUUUGAAGCGUGGACGCCAGUCUGCGUGGAGCCAACCUUGAAAUACCACCCUUUAAUGUUUGAUGUUCUAACGUUGGCCCCUUACCGGGGUUGCGGACAGUGUCUGGUGGGUAGUUUGACUGGGGCGGUCUCCUCCCAAAGCGUAACGGAGGAGCACGAAGGUUAGCUAAUCCUGGUCGGACAUCAGGAGGUUAGUGCAAUGGCAUAAGCUAGCUUGACUGCGAGCGUGACGGCGCGAGCAGGUGCGAAAGCAGGUCAUAGUGAUCCGGUGGUUCUGAAUGGAAGGGCCAUCGCUCAACGGAUAAAAGGUACUCCGGGGAUAACAGGCUGAUACCGCCCAAGAGUUCAUAUCGACGGCGGUGUUUGGCACCUCGAUGUCGGCUCAUCACAUCCUGGGGCUGAAGUAGGUCCCAAGGGUAUGGCUGUUCGCCAUUUAAAGUGGUACGCGAGCUGGGUUUAGAACGUCGUGAGACAGUUCGGUCCCUAUCUGCCGUGGGCGCUGGAGAAUUGAGGGGGGCUGCUCCUAGUACGAGAGGACCGGAGUGGACGCAUCACUGGUGUUCGGGUUGUCAUGCCAAUGGCACUGCCCGGUAGCUAAAUGCGGAAGAGAUAAGUGCUGAAAGCAUCUAAGCACGAAACUUGCCCCGAGAUGAGUUCUCCCUGAGACUUUAAGUCUCCUGAAGGAACGUUAAAGACGAUGACGUUGAUAGGCCGGGUGUGUAAGCGCAGCGAUGCGUUGAGCUAACCGGUACUAAUGAACCGUGAGGCUUAACCUU
rnacentral:rRNA from 1 species